GUAUCCAGGCAGCUGUCACUCAUCCCCAGUUCCAGUCCUGUCUCGCUCCGCAGACAGAGCUUGAUUCCUGCUGUGAGGAAUUGUCACAGCCUUUUUACUUCAAUUCUACUAUAACUAAUCAGGCCAGUUUCUUCUCCCUUCCUUUCUUCUGUGUGCCAGGGUGGGAAGGGAGUUGCCUUUUUAGUAUUUUAGCGAAUUUUAUUUUAUUUUAUUUUAAAAUUGAAUUAGCCCUCAUUGAAAGGGCCUGUGGAUAUGGAGCCUGCGCAUAUGGGGGACAUGUUGAAGGGUUCCCUUUUGGAGGGCCCCUUCACAGAAGCCGCAAUCGUUCCCUCAGCCGCGAGCUACGAGGGAACUGCGGGCUUAAGCCUUUCGGCUAACGUUAGGGAGAGAGAGACCUCGGAGCCUCUGGAGACUACUGAUCUGCCGGCUCCGCCGCCCAAAAAAGCCGCAAAAAAGACCAAGCAUUUGAAAGACAAAGUCUUGGCAAAAAAGAAAAAGGCAAAACUCUCUCCCGGCAGCGCUCCGCUGAGCGAAAGGCUGCAAUUACAGGCAGUUCGGGCUCAGCAACCAUCUUCCUUUUUGCCGCCCGAUCUUACUGCUGAGGGAGCAGCGGCCAUUUUAGCGCUCCUUUCUAAGUCCUGUUCCGUUGCUACUAUCAGGAUCGACGGGGACCCUGGGCGCACAGUACCGCUUUCUGAACCCUUUACGGGUUCCUUAUUACUAGCAAUAGCACUUAGCAAUAGCACUUACAUUUAUAUACCGCUCUAUAGCCGGAGCUCUCUAAGCGGUUUACAGUGAUUUUAGCAUAUUGCCCCCAACAUUCUGGGUACUCAUUUUACCGACCUCGGAAGGAUGGAAGGCUGAGUCAACCUUUGAAACUACAUGGACCUUCGUCGGCCUAGAGUUCCGCUCAACCUCCGCUCUCCGUUUUCGACCCUCCUCAGGGUCCGAUCUUCGCGUCAACAGCGCUUGCGGCUAUUGCCCCACCUCAGGGUCCGCCAGUCGCGCGGACAGCGCCCACGACUAUCGACCCCCCUCAGGCUCCACUGACCGCGCCGAGUGCCUCCGACCCCUCUCAGGGUCCAUUGUUGGCCACUGCUACAGCAACCUUUGCCACUGUAGCCGAGCAGCUGAAUGGGAAAGCGCUUCCCGAUAUGCCCCCUCUCCCAGGAGAUCACCAGCCUUCAGAGGGUGAGUUGUUAUGGCUGGGGGAAUUUGUCAGAAUUUGUCACUGCUUAAAUGUGGUUUCUCCUCUGAUGGACUCAGUCGGGAGUGCCUUAAUUCCUUCCCAACCGGUUUACACCUCUGGGGUGUUAGGUUCCUGUGGGCAAUCUACCAACAUGCAGCCACCCUCUCUACAAGUGGCGCCCCCCCCCGUAGGUCUAGGAGACCUUCCUAUUCUUCUUUGCCGGACUCAAGCCUGGCUAGACGGGCAAUUCCUAUGGCAGAGCGCUCCUUUUUGCUUGACUCCACCAGGAGGAGACAUAGAAAGUGGAAACACAUUCACCAUCCCUCUUCCUCCUCUGAGGAGGUGCCCCAGGCUCCAAAACGUGUUCCCACUGAUGUUCCUUUAAAUAUUCAAGCCACUGUACCCCCUAUUAUGCCACAGGGGAUCCCAAUAGUUCAGAACACCCCAGGAAUCCCGGUGCGUUCUCAGGCUGUGGUUCAACGCCCAGUGCUUCCCUCUGAGGAUUCACAGACUUCCGAGUCUGAGAAAGAGGAAGGGGAACUGUCUGACGAACAGGCUCCCAUGGAAAAGCCUAAUUCUACUCGACUUUUCUGUGCCUCUGAAUUUGAAAUUUUACUAGCCAAGGGCAAAACGGCUAUUAAAGAAGUUUCACCAGAGAUUGCCUCCCCUACAGUCUCUGGCUUGGAUCAAGAGGUUUUUCCUUCCACGUCUGUUUCUGCAGCCACUGUACCCUUUCCUUCUUUAUUUAAAGUUGUCAUGUUUGCUGAGUGGGGGGGUACCUGGGUCUGCUAAACCUCCCAUUUCCUCCCCAAGGAAAUUGUAUGCAUUACCCUCUGAUAUUAUGGCGCUUUUGGCAGUUCCUGUUGUCGAUGGGCCCGUGGCCCAGUUGGUCACUGGCGCUCUGGUUAAUAAGGAGGGAGAUGACUUUCUCAUAACGCCAAAGGAAAAGAAAACUGAUCACCUGUUACGUAAGAUGCACGAGGCGUCUGCAACUGUCAUAAGGGCAACUGCCACUAAUUCUAUUUUUGCCCGUGCCUCCAUUCUGUGGACUAAGGAACUUGUUAAACUGGUUUCACCAGAAAAUCUGAAGCUUCGCCAAGGCUUGAAUAAGCUAGCCAGAGCUUCUGCCCUUAUGGCAGAUUCUGGUUUGGAUUGCAUACAACACGCUUCGCGUGCUAUGGCAGCGGGGGUGGCCCUUCGCAGAAGCUUAUGGCUAAAGAAUUGGUGGGCAGAUACCAAGUCCAAGUCCACCUUGGCAGCUUCUCCCUUUAUGGGGGAGAAAUUAUUUGGGGAAUCCUUAGAUCCAAUUUUGGUAGACACUAAAGAUAAAAAGAAGGCCAUGCCGGUUGGGCGUGGGGAUCCCAGAAGGAAUUUCAGGGGAAAUAAUGCCUUUCAGAAUUCCUUUCGUCCCUUCAGAGGCUUUAAUAGACCUGCCAGUUCAGGAUCCAGAGACGGCUUCAGAGGACGAGAUGAUCGCGGAUCUUCCUUCAGAGCUACCUGGCGUCAACCUUGGAACAACAGGGGCAGAGGAUCAGCCAGGGCGCAUUCAGGAGGCUAUGCCAAUAAUCAGAACCGUAAGCAAUGACGCGAUACCGGUGGGGGCCAGACUUUUGGAGUUUGCAGAAGUCUGGGGGAACAGCACCACAGAUCAAUGGGUGUUGAAUAUGGUGAGUCAGGGGUACGUUGUAGACCUUGUAGAUAUUACUCCUGAUUUUCUCUUUAUUACACCUGUUUCCAGGGUGAGAUCCAAAAGAAUCCUGAUGGAGCACAGCAUUCAACAGUUACUGGACAUACAAGCCAUAGAACCAAUUCUGUCGACGGAAUUAUGUGUGGGCGUUUUUUCGCUUCUCUUUUUGGUACCAAAAAAGGACGAUUCCUGGCGAGCAAUCCUGGAUCUAAAGAGAUUGAAUCACUUCGUACGCAAACGCAAGUUCCGAAUGGAAUCAUUAUGGACAAUAAAAGCAGCGAUUCUUCCGGGAAAUUACUUGUCAUCAAUCGACCUUUCGGAAGCGUACUUACAUGUACCAAUUCACCCGGCGUCCCGCAAGUAUCUCCGGUUUGCCUACAACCAGAGGCAAUUUCAAUACAGGGCUCUCCCCUUCGGGUUGUCCUCAGCCCCUUGAGUUUUCACAAAGCUGAUGGCCAGGGACAUAGCUCAGGUGGUUCAGAUAUUGGAGGAUCACGGCUUUGUCAUAAACUGUGCCAAGAGUCACCUAUCUUCUUCGAAGGUGCUUCAACAUCUAGGCGUUGUCUUCAACACCAGUGCAGGCACAGUUUCCCUACCACCGGAUCGGCGGCAAAGGAUUGUGGACCACAUCAGGCCAUGGAUGUUCAGGCGCCGGGGCUCCCUCAUUUCUCUGGCCCAACUCAUGGGUCUGAUGAUUGCAUGCCUGGAAUGUACACCUUGUGCCAGGUGGCAUUCAAGACCGCUUCAGUGGUUCCUUCUUUCCCAUCAAGUAGCCAUUAUGGAAAGAACACCAUUGAUGCUUCACCUGCCACGGAAGGUCAGGGACUCCCUUCUCUGGUGGCUUUCUCCAGCCCUGGAGAAAGGCGUGCUGCUGGAAACUCCCCGGAGGGUGGUGGUCACGAUGGACGCCAGCCUCUCUGGUUGGGGGGCCCACUGUCUUACACGCCAUGCACAGGGGACCAGAGGGAUCUAAGGAACACCAUCAACUGGUUAGAGUUGAAGGCUAUUCGGUUAGCCCUUCUUCACUUCCACGAUCUUUUGGAGGGGAGACAUGUCCUCAUAAGGACGGACAAUGUGACUGCAAAAGCUCAUGUGAAUCACAAGGGCGGCACAAGAUCGAGGGCCCUCAUGUGGGAGUCGAACCUGCUAUUCGGUUGGGUGGAAAUCCACUUGUGCUCUGUGACAGCGGAGCACCUGAGUGGCACGGAGAACUUACAGGCAAAUUGGCUAAGUCGCCAACGGGUAGACCCAGCGGAGUGGGGUCUCCACCCAGCAGUUUUCGAGGAAAUUGCAGCCUGGUGGGGUCGUCCACAGCUGGAUCUAUUCGCUUCUCAGGUUAAUGCGAAGUUGCCGAGGUUUUACGCAAGAUAUUUUUCUCCUCACGCGGAGGAGGUGGACGCCCUCUCCUCUCCUUGGCCGCAGGGCUUGCUCUAUGCGUUUCCUCCAACUCCGAUUCUAGGCUCUUUCCUGAGGAAGCUCCUGUUGGAGGAAGCGGAGGUCAUUUUGAUAGCUCCUUAUUGGCCUUUGAGGCCUUGGUUCUCUGACCUACUGAGGCUGUCAGUUCGUCCACCGUGGUCUCUUCCUCAAAGAAGGGAUCUGCUGUCGCAAGGCCCUCUCUACUACCCGGACAUCACCUGGUUACGCCUUCACGCUUGGAGGUUGAGCGCAAGAUCCUAGAAGCCAAGGGAUAUUCUACCCAGGUGCAAGACACUAUUUGGCGUCAAGACGAUCAUCCACCUCACGAAUCCACCAAGUCACCUGGGCGGCUUUUUGUGCCUGGGGGCAUAAACUGAGUGUCAUUUCAUCCGUGGCGGGGGUUCCAGAAGUUCUAGGUUUUCUUCAAGUGGGUCUUGAAAAAGGGCUCCAUCCUAGCACUCUAAGAAGACAAACUUCUGCAUUGUCAUCAGUACUGAAUCUAUUGGAACCUGGCUCUUCUUCCUUGCAUCCUCACAUCAGGCAUUUUCUGAGGGGAGCUACCAACUUGGCUCCUCCUCCGAUACAUAGGUUUCCCUCUUGGGAUUUAAAUCUAGUUUUAAAGGCGCUUACUAAAGCUCCGUUUGAGCCCCUGCGCUUAGCUCCCUUGCAAAUCUUGUCCUUUAACGUUCUGUUCCUUGUUGCCAUCACAACUGCACGAAGGGUUUCUGAGCUAGCUGCCCUUUCAGUGCGUAAGGAGCUGUGUAUCUUUCAGAAGGACUGUGUUGUCUUGAAAUUGGACCCUACCUUUUUUGCCUAAGAUUAAUUCCAUUUUUCAUCGGAGUCAGGAUUUGGUGUUACCCUCCUUUUGCCCUAGUCCGGUUCACCCGAAAGAGUGGUCUUGGCAUACCCUUGAUGUAUGCCGAGCUCUUAAAUUAUACAUUAAGCGGACCAAGACCUUUAGAAGGACGGACUCACUGUUUGUGUCCUUCCAGCCUGCGUCCUUAGGGGCUAUGGUCUCAAAGAUUUCAUUAAGUAGAUGGAUCAGAGCUGCCAUAACUUUGGCAUAUGAGUCUCUUCAUCUGCCUAUUCCUCGGGCCAUUACCGCCCAUUCUACAAGAAGUGCUGCCACUUCUGCAGCCUUUUCUGUUCGUGCCCCCUUGGAAGAAAUUUGCAAGGCGGCAACAUGGGCAUCAGUAUCUCCUUUUAUCAAACAUUAUAAGAUUCCAUCCUUUCAUGCUGCUCAAGCGGCAAUGGGAAGGACGGUUUUGCAGCAGGUGGUUUAAUCAUCCGCUCCCGCCCUUGGGAUUGCUUUUGUACAUCCCAUCACGUUAGGAUGCCCUCCCCAUACCAAGGAAAAAGAAACAUUGGUAGACUUACCGUGAAGGGUUCUUUUUCUGGGUAUGGGGAGGGCAUCCGGCCCUCCCGCGAAUGAUAGAGAGAAAAUUUUUCAGGGAGGGGGGGCGACUCCCAGGGCUGUUUAGUUAUUGCUGUCACUUUUCUACUACUAUUACUUUUCCCUUAAAACCUUGUGGCCUAUAUCUUCUCCUUCUUUGGCUCUAUGUUUGUUCUAUGCUCUACAGUCCUGGAACUGGGGAUGAGUGACAGCUGCCUGGAUACACAUAGCUGGCCUGAAAUUUGAUUGGUCCUGUCUCGGAGCAUGCAGAGCUUGAUAACCCAUCACGUUAGGAUGCCCUCCCCAUACCCAGAAAAAGAACCCUUCACGAUCGCAUGGUGAACUUUUUCUGUUGAUCUCCUGGAACUCGCAGCUCAACGGAUGCCCAGAUGGAUAUUUGCACCUGACACCUCAACUAGCCAUUGUAUAUGGGCACACUGUAAGUGAGUGAAAGCUGUGUAAAUAGUUUGUAAAUACUGUGUUGUUAUGCAUUUGUAACAUUUUACAAAUAAAGGCGUAUUGAACACACACAAAAAGGUCCUUUGCUUGGCAAGUCCAUCUCUGUUGCAUCCAUUCAGUGCCAUGUGUAAUUUUUUGGCCCUAGGGGUCCUUCCUCCAAAUCAGGCUGCAGCAGAGGACAAGGCAAAGCAGUAAGGCCCCUCCCAUCAGCCUGAGAAGAACCAGGUACCUUCUGGACCCUCUCCUCUGGCAACUCCCCCACCCUUUUAUUUCUCUCUCUCUCUUUUGCUUGUAUUUUGGAAAAGAUGGUGAGUACCUUCAGGACAGGUUUAUUACUAUUUUUUAAAUGCUGCAACCCAUUCUGAGCCUGUCAGAAAGAGUGAGAUGUAUAUAAGUGAGCGAAUAAAGAAAAAUAAUUGGCUUCCCUCCCCUCCACUUUACAUGGCUGGUUCCUCUUUGUUGCAGGCUAAUACCCCCAAAUAAAUGUUUAGCUAUGAUAUUUGCUAAUUAGGUCAUUAUUUAACAGACCUGUUGACAUCAGUGGGGAUAGAAUUUUACCUAGACAUCUCAAAUACUUUAAUUAAUUAACUGUUUGAACAAGCGUCAAUAAAUGGCAUUUAUUUUAUUUUAAUUUAGAACCAAUGCAACUGCAGUUUUUUUGUUUUCUUCCUCUUUAACAUGUACAGAAUUGUGAUAUUGCAGGAAGAGAGCAAGAGCAUGAGUGCGCAAGUGCACGCGCGCGCACACACACACACACACACACACACACACACCCAUAAAGCUUGCGCAAUCCUUGGGGCGUUAGGCUAGUACUGUUCCCAAUAAUAUCCUCCCAUAAACAUUGUCUCAUAAAUAGCACCUUUUUGAAGAACAUCUGGAAUGAGUAUUGACACUACUACACUGCCCCCACUUGAGUCCUUUCCUUUGUUCCAUACCACUGACAGAAAGGAAGAGAAUUUGAAUUUAUAUAAUAUGUUCCACUCUACAAAGCAACAAAUUAGAUACCAGUAACACUAUGGCUAGAUUUACUACCAUAUUCAUUUUAAUGGCAUCUAUUGUUGUGUCCUGUAGACAUCACAGGAUGCCAUGUGAAGAACAUUUAAUUAAAUACAGCUGGAACAAAAUAAUUGGAAGAGGAACUGAUCUAACUAUUCCACUUGGUGAAAAAGAAGCAUAUCUUCCCAGCCAAAAGACAGCCCAGAACCUCAUAACAUGAAGAUUGGAAGGCGCUUUGGGAGUGUCAACCACACUUAUCUGGAACUUAGAACAGAUGCUUCUGCUUAAUUUUUUUCAGGAUUGUCGAUGGCAGUCUCCUUUUAAAUUACAAGGUUUUGUUCAGCAAAUUCUUUUGUCUAGCAUGCAGCCACAUGUGCUUUGGGGAUGAAGAGUUUGUAGUUCUCCAGGCCUGUGGAUACAAAAAGACCUAACACUCAGGAGGAAAAACACAGUUGUCUUCAGUGCUUAAAGAAAUGCCUCUUUAGGGAUGCAAAUUAUCAAGCUGUAGUAACAGAAGGAAACGACUGUUCACAAAAUUGUAUGUAUCUUGCAGUUCCAGAAAACCUCAAGGCCUAGAAUUUAGCAUCCUGAGAAUUUUGACUUUUACCUUUAAAAAAACACCAAAAAACCCACACCCCAAUUUCUCUGCCUUAUUUUAUAUAAUUAAGUUUAUAUACUGCUUUUCCACAUACUGCACUCAGAGUGAUAAAACAACCUAUAUCUCAUACAGAUAUCUGUAUCUUGUGGCAUAGUGUGAAGGCAAUGCCUGAUGAAACUUCAGAAACACGAGGCUUUGGAACACACUUCCUGCUGAAAUAAGAGCCUCCCCAUCUCUUGCAACUUUUAAAAAGGCAGUCAAGAUGCAUUUGUUCACCCAGGGGUGUGUGGGUGUGUGUUUAUUUAUUUAUUUGUGUUUUUAAUAGUUUCAAUUUUUUAAAUUUUAAACUGUUAUAAUGUUUUAACCUUUUUAUUGUUGUUUUUGUUGUUGUUGUAAACCGCCCAGAGACUUGUGUUUUGGGCAGUAUACAGAGGCGUAUCUAGGGAAAAUAGCGCCUAGGGCAAACACUGAAAUUGCACCCCCUGUCCAAACACCUCACACCCAUCUUUCAGAUAUCUUCACCAUAAUAUCAGCUGAAAAAUACAAGUCAAGCUCGUUAAUCUUUUAAUAUUUCAAAAACUAUUUAGCAGUGGAUGUAGCCAGACCAAAAAAUGCUGGAAAACUACAAAUUUCAGUAUGCUGGGGCUCAUGAAAUGCCCAAAUACUAUGUGGAGGUGUACUUGAAAAACUAAACAGAAGUGCCUGUCUAAUUCUCUACUAUGCAUUGUAGCAUCACCAUUACAUAAGUUUUAAAAAUCAAUGGAGAAUUUGACUUUUCCUAGAUACUCUGAAAAUAAUUAAAGGAUAUUCAGAGCAAACUGUGUCACUGCUUGGAAUAUAUUCUAGUCUUUCAGAAAGACAGUUAAAAUGAGAGAAAGAGAGCAAGAAACUCCCAGUGGGCCUUAAUACUAAGGAUUUCACACUGAUUCAAAGACAAACUCACCAUUAAUAGCCAUAAUAUUAAGACAUCACAUUUAACUCACUUAUCACAAGAAGCAAAGUAAGAGCAAAUGAAUGCAAUCCUAGCUCAUAAGCCUCAGCUCAGUAUCCACAAGCCCUGAUUAUCUGUACAUAGUGCCAAUCUGAAUAUGUGUACAGUGUCUUAUAUUAUAUAUAUAUAUUAAUUUUUGUUUACCUGUAGCCCCUUCGGGGGGCUUGUAAAUGCCAUGGGGGGUGUCUGCAAAGGUUCCCCCUCACCCCGCUGGCCUCUAGGGCCUCGCAGGGACCAUUUGAGCAUGUGCGGUGGCCAUUUUUUAAAAUAAUCUUUUUUUUAAAAAUGGCAGCUGAAAACAAAAUGGCCACCGUGCAUGCUCAAAUGGCCUCUGCAAGGCCUGGCAUGGCCUAGGGCCUCACAGAGGCUAUUUGAGCAUGUGCGGUGUCCAUUUUGUUUUCAGCAACAAUUUAAUUUUUUUAAAAAAUUUUACAAUAUGGUGCCCCCCUUCAAGUGGUGCCCGGGGCACAUGCCCUGCCUGCCGCACACUAGAUACGCCCCUGGCAGUAUACAAAUGAAAUAAAUAAAAUAAAAUAAAUACCAACAGCAAUAAACCAUACUUAGUAUUUGUAUAGCACUUUAGAGGGCCAGUGAGCAUCAUCUAAACUAAUUUAUUUAAUAGUCCUACUCAUAAGUUACUGUAUAGAACUACUUAAUUUCAGUCAGACUAUUCAGGUGUAAUUCAAUCUGGCUGCUAUGUGUGUGUAUAUAAAACAAUGCCCCAAUACCUUUUUUUUUUCUUAGAAAGCAAAGCCACUUUGAGAGAGGUAAAUGUAGGGUGAAGAAGAAGCAGAGAAGGAACGACACUUAACCCUUUCCCUUCUUGCCAUUUCCUCCUUCCAAAUUACUCCCCUAAACAACUUUUCCAAAACUGGAUUCAAAUACAUGUUUGCCCCAUAGCUACACCGUUGCUAUGUAACACCGUACAGUAGCAAUGUUGGAGCUUCACUAUGAACAUAAUUGUAAAGCAGCUAUUAGUGUUUUGAAUUCAAGCAUAUGCCUGGGUUACACAGAGAUUGCUGAGAUUACAGCCAAGCAGGUCAUUUGGAUUUUUGUUUUUGUUUUUUUAAAAAAAAUAGUUGUGUGAAUGAGAAAAUUACUUGUAUAAUAGUUUUCUCUUGGAUGAAAAGGAAAAUAAUCAAAUAAGGGGUUAUCAAACCAAAUAAAAAACAGCAGACCUAUUCCACUGCUCAUGCAGUUCUUGUCUGAA